AGGGACCCUUUUUUAAAAAGGUCUAAAUUUUUUUCAUCAAAAGGCAGCAAAUUUCAGAGAAGAAUUUAAAUUCUUACUCCACAAUCUUUGUUUUAAGUUCAAGCAAAUAUAGAAAAUUUGAAAUAAGGUCAUUAUACCUAUUAUGAAGCAUAAACAUCAUGCCUCUACUUAGCAUAAAAAAAUUAUCAACUAGAUACAUUUGUUGCUACAAGAUAUGGAGAAAGAAUAGCA
rnacentral:lncRNA from 1 species